UCGGCCCAUCCUGCCCGCUGCUAGUUCGCAGUCAGGGCAGGGAGAGAAGACGGGAGAAUGAGCCUCAGUGACAAACUGUCCGACUCUGAAUAACCCUUAGGAGAGCAAGGUGCUAUUUUAGGAAGACACUCUGGGGACAGCUCCACAAUGGAAAAUCCUUGGUUCUGUGAGUCUGGGUUGAAAGAAAUGUGGAUUUCUUUUAUCUGGGAAGCUUAAUCACAAAGUGAAAAACAUAGCCUUUCUUCCACAGCUGGAAAAUUUAACUAACAUGGGGCAAAGGAGGCUUACUUUUUUUAAAGGCAAUAAAUGAAACUACCAAUGUGUCAGUUUGGGGAAGCCAGUCUUUGGUUUUAUCCUAAAUGAAAACUUGUAAGGGGCCGGCUCCGUGGCCGAGUGGUUAAGUUCACGCGCUCCGCUGCAGCGGCCCAGGGUUGGGAUCCUGGGCGCGGACAUGGCACCACUCAUCAGGCCACGUUGAGGCGGCAUCCCACAUCCCACAACUAGAAGGACAUGCAACUAAGAUAUACAACUGUGUACAGGGGGAGUUUGGGGAGAUAAAGCAGGGGGAAAAAAGAAACUUGUAAGGCAGCAGGUGAGUUUAUCCUGAAGGAAGCCUGUGGGACCGGCAGCAGCAGGCAUGUGGCAUAUGUUUGUGUGCGUUUGUGUUGAAGUCCAGGAAGCUGGGCUAGGGGUGAUGUGUAAACACUGGGAGAGGCAGGAAACUGGGCUGCUGGGUAGGGCUAUGCCCAAGGAAACUCAGGCACAUGUGUGCCUCUUGGGAGAGAGGAAGCAGGCAGCACGGCCAGCUCUGGAACCUUCCACGUGCACUUUUAGGCCAUCGUGAGGGAUGCGGCUAUGCUUCCCCAGACAGGAGGAGCCCUCGUGCACACUGGUCUUGGCGGUAAGAUUGUAGUUAUGUAAUCACGUCAACAGUAAAAUCUCGUGUGUGCGAUGGAGAGACGAAGCUUCCAGAUUACAUCAGUGGGUGGAUUGUUGAGGUCUAACCCUCCGGCAGCCCAUAUUAACUGAAAAUUUAGCAAUAAGCAAUAUAUGAGUUGGGAGCCCUCAGGGGAAACUGUUGAAACAUGUUUCUGGCAUCUCCAAAUGCCAAGAGGUGACCGUUUUUUUAACUUUUUAUGCCCUAAAUAUAUGUUCAUGGAGCCGGGAUCGUAAAAGCAGACCUGUAAGAUGAAUUUGGAAAUAUUCCUUAUCUGGACCCCAAACAAACAAACAAACAAACGAACUAACUAACCCAGGGCCUUAUUAAGGUGCACUACAGGAUUCUAGAAGGUCUUAGUUCCAGAGAUCCUUAAACCUGGAACUUUUAGAAAAUUAACUGAGCUCCAUUAAAUUUGGCUAUCUUUGCAGGGCAAGGGGACUUCUAACGUUUAAGUCAUGAGAGAGCUUAGUUACUAAACUAGAAGUGUGGUGUUUUAUAAGAACUCUGACCAAAUCAGGCAAUCUAAGUUCUCAUCUGGGUGUUCCCAGAAGAGUCACUUAUUCCCUUCAGGUCGAAGUCUCUUCCUCUGUGAAACAAACAGCUUGGGCUGGAUCAGAGGAGCUUAUCUCUCGGUCCAGCCUGGUCAGCCGCAGACCUGGGGCUGGAAGAGGGUGCUGGGGAUGACGCUGCAGUGGCCCAGCGGGUGCUGGUCAUUUAAGAACCGACUCUUUAGACCAGGAUCUUGGAUGUUCAGCUUCACCACUUACCAGCUUUGUGAUUGAGUUUCGAAUUCCUCAAUUUUAAAAUAGAAAUACUGUAGAGCCUACAUGAUAUGGUGCUCGUGAAGGCUAAGCCAGGUGCCUGUCAGAUACUUGGAAGAGUGCCUGGCACGUGGUAGCAGCUC
rnacentral:lncRNA from 1 species